GCCGCAAUCCGCUGCUCGUCCGGUGGC
rnacentral:piRNA from 1 species